GAUCCCAUAAAAAUCUGGAGCCGACUCGAUGCAUACAAGGCUUAUGAGAGUAAUAGUCCAUAUUUAUAUAGUUGACAAUUUAAGUCAACUUUUCCAUCCAGUCCAAAGUGUGUGCGUAAAGCAGCAGGAGAAGGAUAAACGGACCCGCCAAGGAUCUACGAAGAAGGUCCAGUUAAGUGGUUCUUUUUCUGUGGAAGGAUGUCAGCUCUCUGCGCCUGGUCAUCCCUGAGGACGCUUGAUGUCAUCUUGUCUACCUGAUCAUUACGCUACCUGCUCUCUUCUACAAUGCUGCCCUCUCGCUGCUCCACCACUUGAAAUGCUUGGCUGGCCUCUUCUCUGAAGCCAUCAUGAAAUUGUGUGCUAAAACGCUGCAGACACUGUUCCUCCUCUCUCUUUUUGCUCCAGCCAUGUGUGCACAGGAACCAGAAAAAGAUUCCUGCAUGCAGAGAAAUGCUGCUUCAGUGUAAAACCACACAAAACACCCGCCAAACAUUUUUUUUAAAUUAUGAUUUUGAUGCUUGUAGAGACUUUUUAACAAUGCACCAACAAUUCAUGACCUGAUAAUGAUAACAAUGACAGAGCAGAACAGAUACAAUGUAUUUUUAGAUAAGAAAAUACAUGAUUAGAAAUUGAGCAAAGAGCAGGAAAAAUAUCAACAAUAAAAGAAUAUGUAAAAGAAAACAAAACAAAAAGUAAAAAUAAAGAUAGGAGCAACAGAACAGAGCAAUACGAGAACAGUCAUGUGCCCAUGAUUAACUCACUCUUUGUUAUUCUGUUGUAUUUUAUUAUAAUUUAGGUCAUUUUGUUGUGAUUGUGUAUGCAUUUUGCACAGUUUUUUAUAUUAUGUUUGUACUAUAUGUACUUUUAAAGUAAGUACUUUAAAAGCCCAGCACUGUGAAUUAGCCAAGACUAUAAAUACUCCAGUGUGUGGCAAUGAACUGCAGUACAUAUUUGCCCCUAUACAAACAAACAUUAAAAUAAAAAUAUAAAAAGAAUAGUAAAGCAAUGAAAAAAAAAUUGCGACAAAAUAGUAUAAAAUGAAGAAAAAUACAACAUGUAACAUACUGCAAAGUAAAUUAUAGGCAGUAAGAAGCUAUUGCGCAAAAGAAGUGCAUUAUAAACAAGUAAAAACUAUUGUACAUUGGAACAGAAUGAUGGAAUAAUUAAAUGGAAUAAAAUGAUUAGGUCAUUUUACUUAGAUUAUUAUCUACGAUUAUUUUCUGCUAGUCAUAUUUUACUGAUAUCAGUGGUAUUUAUAUUUAUGUUUUUUAGUUAAAUUAGGAGGCAUUCAAAAAUACAUAUUUAUUUGGGACUAUAUACACCCAUAGUAUGUCACAAUUUGUAAAAAAAUAAAAAAUAAAAAAAAAAAAUAAAUAAAUAAAAUAAAAAAAAAAAAUAAUAAUAAUAAUAAUAAUAAUAGCUCUCAUACUGUGUCAAACUGUGAUAAAUAACAUGUUUCUGGUGAGAAAGAUAGAAAUUCAGAAGACACAAACAGCCAUAUAUAUUUAAUAGUGAUACUUUUAUUUAUAUGUUUGUAGCCAUAGGUUUUAGAGCACUGUAUGUGUAUAUGUAUGCGCUUUGGGCACCAUGAAGGUGUGAAAAAGCAUUAUAUAAGUGCAGUCCAUUUGCCAUUUAAACAGCCUUGUCAGUAAAGCUCACUGAGUUGAACUGAACUGAACUGAACUGAACUGAAUUGACAGAAGACAGAGGGAAAAGCAAAUAAAGAACACUGAAACAGCAUAGAAGGAAAAAGCAUACACAUAGAUGUAUAUAUGUGUGUCUGUAUUUGUACAUGCAUUUGUGUGUGAGGAACAAUAACAAUACAAAACAUCCAACCAUACGAGACAUGUAUGGCAUGUUAAAGACGUUUGAGGUUGUCUGUUUAGGUGGAUUCUUUGUAUUCACCUUGUCUGUUCUUUCAGAUCCACAGCUUUCAGCAGCAGUGAAAUUAUUACAAAGACGAAGCAUGUACAUGUUCUGGUACAACCAAACAAACCGCAUUUGGCUUCAUAUUAUCUAUUCUGAACAUACAAAUGAUCAGUUCAUGCAGAGAUAAUUACUGCAAGUAAAUACAUAUAAGGUCAUAUCUUCAAUGCCUCUUCUAUGUAUAUUUUUACACAUCCAGAUCUGUUGCAUUCUGAGUGUAAAACAAAAAAAAAAAAAAAAAAAACAGAAUCAGGAUCAGAAUCAUGUUAAUUGCCAUGUAAGUAAACAGGGUUUACAUUACUGGGAAUUUGUUUUAGUAGUUUGGUGGAUACAUAGAACAUGUAGUGGGUAAAAAGCAUUCAGUCAAAAAAAAAAAAAAAAAAAAUCUAAAAUAAAAUAAAAUAAAAUAAACAAAUAAGAUUCAAUACUAU